UAGACCAUAUCUCCUUGACAAUAAGGUCUA
rnacentral:piRNA from 1 species